rnacentral:rRNA from 1 species
CACGUAGGGGACGAGCGUUGUCCGGAUUCAUUGGGCGUAAAGAGCGUGUAGGCGGCCAGAUAAGUCCGCUGUGAAAUCUCGAGGCUCAACUUCGAGCUGUCGGUGGAAACUGUCUGGCUAGAGUCCGGAAGAGGAGAAUGGAAUUCCUGGUGUAGCGGUGAAAUGCGCAGAUAUCAGGAAGAACACCCGUGGCGAAGGCGGUUCUCUGGGACGGUACUGACGCUGAGACGCGAAAGCGUGGGGAGCGAACAGG